GACGAACGCUGGCGGCGUGCUUAACACAUGCAAGUCGAGCGGUAAGGCCUUUCGGGGUACACGAGCGGCGAACGGGUGAGUAACACGUGGGUGAUCUGCCCUGCACUUCGGGAUAAGCCUGGGAAACUGGGUCUAAUACCGGAUAUGACCUCCUAUCGCAUGGUGGGUGGUGGAAAGAUUUAUCGGUGCAGGAUGGGCCCGCGGCCUAUCAGCUUGUUGGCGGGGUAAUGGCCUACCAAGGCGACGACGGGUAGCCGACCUGAGAGGGUGACCGGCCACACUGGGACUGAGACACGGCCCAGACUCCUACGGGAGGCAGCAGUGGGGAAUAUUGCACAAUGGGCGAAAGCCUGAUGCAGCGACGCCGCGUGAGGGAUGACGGCCUUCGGGUUGUAAACCUCUUUCAGCAGGGACGAAGCGCAAGUGACGGUACCUGCAGAAGAAGCACCGGCUAACUACGUG
rnacentral:rRNA from 1 species